rnacentral:rRNA from 1 species
GACGAACGCUGGCGGCGUGCUUCGCACAUGCAAGUCGAACGGUAAGGCCCUUCGGGGUACACGAGUGGCGAACGGGUGAGUAACACGUGGGUGAUCUGCCCUGCACUUCGGGAUAAGCCUGGGAAACUGGGUCUAAUACCGGAUAGGACCACUUCCUGCAUGGUUGGGAGUGGAAAGCUUUUGCGGUGGGGGAUGGGCCCGCGGACUAUCAGCUUGUUGGUGGGGUGAUGGCCUACCAAGGCGACGACGGGUAGCCGGCCUGAGAGGGUGAGCGGCCACACUGGGAAUGAGAUACGGCCCAGACUCCUACGGGAGGCAGCAGUGGGGAAUAUUGCACAAUGGGCGCAAGCCUGAUGCAGCGACGCCGCGUGAGGGAUGACGGCCUUCGGGUUGUAAACCUCUUUCAGCACCGACGAAGCGCAAGUGACGGUAGGUGCAGAAGAAGGACCGGCCAACUACGUGCCAGCAGCCGCAGUAA